ACCUCAAGCACAAGGGCCAGAGAAGGACCCAGGGUAUAAAGCACGCGCUCGCUAUCCACUCGGUCCUUCUGUUUCCUCGCGCUUGAUGGUUCUGUACGAAGCAUCUCGGACAUUGAAACACGUGUCCCAACACAAAAAGGAAUCAUUACGACCGAGAAGGAUGAGUAACUUUCUUUUUGAAUCUACUAAACCGACGACUGAGGUUCCACGGUGCUACGGGAACGCCAAUCCUGGAUUUGGAUGAUGUAAGUGCAAAAUGAGAUUGCAACAAUGAGAGUAGCGACCCCAAGUGGAUCCUGUGAGUCCUGACGAAACGUCUCAUACCUGAAGAGAAAAGCGUGUGGCUCUGUUAGCCAUGAGCAGAUGGUUGUCAAUUUGGACUUGCGGAACAGAUUCUUCUCUAGUUCAUGUACUGCUGGCUGGUUGACGUCUCUGCAAAUCACACAUUACAGAAACCUGGCUCAAGUCCUGAUUCUUCUGUCGGUGGUCACGUGGCCCGGGUUCCUACUUGAGAAUCCUGGAAUCUCGGAGGUUUAGCUCCUGAAAUGGAGGAACUGCAAUCGCCCAUGUUUUAAUAGUUGAUUCCUGAGUGCAAGGUGCAUGUUCAUUUUAAAAUGUACUUGUUUGAGUUUGGACAACUGUGAUUAAAUGGUUUAAAAAAAAAAAAAAAAAGACAUCUGCUUUGUUGUUCUAUCCUAACCUCACUUGUUUGCAAUAAACUAGAAUAGUGCUUCUCCACUCCAAUAAACAUUAAGAUUCACCCUUAUGCCGAGUCAUGCUACAAAAUAUUGGGUGAUUUAACUUUUUGUAAAUUGUCAGUCAGUUGCGUCAACCUCGCAAGCACAGGAAAUGGGACAAAUGCAACCGUUAGUUGUGUUCCUGUGCCUUUUGGAACUGUUAAGUGCGUACUUCCUACCCGCAAACAAUGCAUAGCUAAUAUAAUGUUGCAAAAAACGGUAUUUAUACCAGAUUUGAUCUUGUUUAAGCACAACUAACGUUAGGUUUUUCGUGUAUGUGUAUAUAUAUAUGACAAAUUCAUUUUAUAUGUAGGACAUUAAUGAAUAUGAAGAGGCGUGUAUAUCGCUUCUGCGGUUAAAAACAGAUGUUCUAGGUGUGGCAUCCCUUCAACCCUUUGGUUCAAAGCCAAUAAAAAUGUGCCUCUACAUUAAAAGAUUUACGUGCACACGUUCUUCAAAAGCUCUCCCCUUUGAUGCUUAGAUCUAGAAUAUAGCAGUACAGUUAAGGGGGUAUUUUAUCCCGAACGGGGAUAACUUUGCUGCGACAACGCUACAAAGAAAGGUUCCGUUUAUUUUGAAAGGUGGGACAACCCGGUAUUCCGGCGUCGACUCUCGUUUCAGGUAGAGGUGAACCUCUCUGUCUAGUUCAGUUCCGUUUUCUAUCAUUCUGUUUUGGCGAUAUAACACUACAUUUAUUCGGUUGAAACACUUUUAACUACGACGCCGACGUUGUGACCGCAGCACACAGGAACUAAUGGAACUAAUGUUAUUGCGUGGCGAGUUGAUUUGAUGCUAACUAAGAGAGCUAGCUGCGAUAGGACCGAGGAACAAUAGCUUGGAGCUUAGAUCGCCGGAGGUGCAUAAACCAGAAACUUGUCUCUCUGGUCUCUGUGUGAAGAAGAUUACGUUUACUGUCACGAGUGAAGGCUUCGUCUUGGCUUGGGGCCAUUCAGUGUUUAUUUGCUCAAUGACACUACAUCUUUAUGAUCACACGAACCACAAGAACGCCUUUGCAUAUUUGUCAAGUUUAAAACAAGACAUGUAGACUGCAAAUCUAAUUCAGUAAGUCGUUAUUGGGGUCACCCCUCACUCUGCUGAACUGCUAAGACACGCCCACAGGUGUGUCCGAGAACCAAUGGACAUUUUUCUCAGUCCUGGUGAACUAGUAUCACGACCUUAUAACCACCACACUGGCAUUCAGUUCAUGCUUUUUUUUUCUAUUUGCUCAAACAGCUUCUGAGCGAGAGCUGAGAAAUAGUCAAGUGUCUUUGUAAACGGCGCCAACGGGCUGAGUGAGAAACAUGACGGCGUUGGUCGGCAGGGCGCUGGGCUGGGUGUGCUCGUGGGGCAGGAUCACAGGAUCGGACAAAACAAAAGGAUUUGAAGACGACGAACCCAGAAAAUGCCACAGCAAACAGAGCUCCAAAGGAUGGACGUCUUGGAUCUGGGGCGGGUGGAAAUACCAGAAGGACCAAAGUAGUCCAGUGGAAGAAUUUUGGGAGGCCCAGGAGAAGAUUCAACCCCUGCAAAUCGCAGAUGUCCGCGCAGGAAAGCAGGAGACAGGACACGUUGUCAGGUGGUGGAAUAAAUACCUGCCCACGUCUUACAGUUUGUGGCCAAGAAAAACAGAGUCAAACACACUACGACAAGAGAAAUGUCACGGCCGGAAAACGUCUGCGCGGGAUGACGACGACGUUGACGGAGACUUUAGAACGCCACCUCCGUCUCCUACCUUCUUCUCUCUCACCCGGUCUCCUUUUCGACUCUUCGCACACGGCUGGAAAGUAGAAAUUCUUUCGGAGCACUACGAGAUCUGCUUCAAUUUCCUCCGCCAUUUAUUUGACCUGUUUGUCGUCGGCUUCCUCUGGACGGUGUCGCCACCGACCAAGCUGAUACUGGAGGUGCUAGGAGUCCAGGGAGCGCUGAGGCUGUGGAUUCAUGGGAUGGCCAUGUUUUUGGUCUCUACAGUUGGAAUGGCCGGAUUGCUUGGGUUAAUCCAGGAGUAUCUCCCUCAGUUUGCGCUGAUCUACGGCAUCAUCCAAGCUGCAGUGAUCUCGGUCAGUGUGCGACAGAGUGUGAUGUUGGACGUGGAGGACAAGAAGGAAAAAGGGGACGAGGAAAAGGGGACGAAUGAAAUGACUGACGAGUCGCUGCAAAAUGAGAAUCUUGUGUCUCCUGUGGACAAGAUGAAGAGAAGUUAAUUUAAUGAUGCUGAGAAGUUCGCUGACCAGGUGUUUGACGCCACAAAAAAAUGGACCUCUGCAAAGACUGACUCACUCCACCACUUUUGUUGUUGCCACGUGGCUCAAGUCGUGUUGCACAUUUAUUACAAAAGUCAUAUAAAUCGUAGAAGCAUCACUUUAUGUUUUAACACUAUGGCUCCGACCGUGUCGGGUGUCCGUUCUACUUGUGGUAAUACAUCACACUCACGUUGACAACGGAACACAGCUUGCCUCAUUAGCUACGCUAAUCUUGAUCAGAUGCAGUGCAAUCCUUGAAGGUUUAGAACACUUUGUUGAAUUUGACGUUUUCACGCUAAAGUUCGGAGUUUCUGAGAAGCUUUAUUCCGAAUCUGCCGAUGAGCUUUUUUUUUUUUUCUGCCACCACAAGUGUACACUAGCAAACGAGCGGAACUGUUAUCUCCAGACCGCUGAGCCCUGAAGGUUUUUUUUUUUUUUCUGUGCUCACUUCCUGUUGACCAAAGUUUCAAAAUAAAGGCGGUCUGGCACGUUGAUCUGUUCUGAAGCUUAACACGUGAGUGUACUUCCGCUGUCGUACAUAGCCCGGAUCAGUUUAAAUAAACUGAUGUGUCUUAUUUGAGCUUUUACCUGUUGAUUAGCUUUAGUUUUUCCUACUUCUUGUUUCAUUCUCAAUCUCGGACUUGCCAAAAGUCUGUCGUUGAAGGACGUGCACAAAUUUUUCCUGUUGCGUCAACACACAGUUUUGUGCGAUUGAAGCCAACACCUGAUUAUAUGUCGUGAUCAUGCUGCUCUGUAUUUACAGUAGGUAGGUCUGCAUCAGACUUGUGACAACAUGUUCACUCCAGUUUGAGGCCCUGAAGGGUAGUUUAAAAAUAUAUUAAUAUAAGCAAAGUAUAACUUUUUUUUUUUUCUUUUUUUUUAAUCCGGGGUCACCACAGUGGUGGUCCUCAAAGAGAUUUGGAGUUGUUAAGCCAGAUGCUUAGUGAUACACUUCUCCCCUACCGCUGGUCCACCCUUCACCUAAACACCUAAAGAUUUGGUCUAUUGAAUACUUUGUAGAAGUCUUAUGUAAUAUCACUUUUUGAAAGCUGAUAGCGAUCAAUAAAAGAGCCUGAACGUCAGACUGACCCUCUCUCCAUCGUGUCCUCCUGACUUACCCACCUGUGCAGUUCGGCACGACACCUUCCAGUGUUUUGCUAUGGUGGAUUUAGACACAAUGUCAGAGGAUCAAACAUGUCAUUUCCCUGCAUUCUCCUCUACUGCGCACGUUUAUGCGUCUUGAGAACGGAAGGUUGAUCAAACAUCAGAAGAGUUACCAAGUUAGCAUUUGAUUGUAAAUUAUCUUUUUUUUUUUUUUACUUAAUUUCUGAUUCAGAUAUCAAACGCUAUUGAAAUGUGCAGCUGUUUUUCCCCAAAAAAAAAAAUUUUUUUAGGUCACGUCACAUAUCUCUGUCUGUGACAUUUUUUUUUUUUAAAAGCUAUUCCAGCAUAUUUGACAAACCCAGGCAUUGCGUUAUUGAGUUUUCAUUACUGGAUAAUUAUUUUGAUAUUACAUAAUUAUGCUAGUAUUGGUUGGCCAAUAUUAUUGGACAUGGCUAGUAAUUAGGAUAUACAAACGUGACAAAUGUUUUCCAAGCAAAGUGGUCCGGCUUAUGGCUUCAAGGAAUGGUGGUUCUUCAUUCUAAGCCUCGCAACUAGGGAUGUCCGAUAACAUGGGCCGAUCGACAUUAACAUAAUUAUGUCAUAUUUGUAAGAAUCGUUAUCGGUUUUUCCUUACGAUAAUGAAACCACAAUAACGCAACGCCUCAGUUUUGCAAAAUAUACUUGAAUCGCUUGCAGGGUCCAGAGACGUUUACGUACCUCAGUUUUGGGGGGGCAAACGGCUGCAUAUAUAUCGUUAUCCAUUGAUAUCGGAAUCGGAAAUGAGAUGUUUGGACAAUAUCAGCAUAUCGGAAAUCCCCGCUCACAAUCAAAACAGAAGCUCUGAGAUGGCAUUUUUAAAGCCAUAACACGCAAAACACUCCCACUUCACAAUCACCUCAUUGAAUUUGUAUGAGUCAAGCACAUGGUGCUGUCACGUGUUUAAAGUUUGCUGACAAUUAGCAUGACGUUUGUGUCUGUACACACCUCUGUUUUAGCCUUAAGUUAUCAUUAAUGGGACAGCAGACCAAAGCUGAGAACGAAAGCUCUUGGCAUUUUUGAAUGAAUGUUUUGGGUACACAAGUACACAACAGUCCAUUCUAUGAAACCUGUUUUUUGUUUUUUUUUUUCAUAAUUUGCUAAAGCAUGUUAUACAGAGAAAAAAAAAAUGUAUAAUAUAAUUUAAUAUAUUCCAGAAUGAUCAGGUAACGUUUUUUAAAGAACAUGUCAGACAAAUUGCAUGGUUAGGUACGCAGCUACACUUUAAAUGUCCGUGUAUGAUAAUAUUCAAAUGGCAACAGUGUUUUAAUUCUGAGGCAGAACUGCAGCGUCGACGUACGUAUCUGCAUUGGCAACUUUUGUGACAAUCUACAGUAUUUCUUGGCUUUUCAGUAUUUGGUGUUCACUUUCCUGAUGGUACAGUUUGAAAACAGUCGCUGGUUUUUUAUGUCAAAACGCAACCGCGGCGCUGCGGUUGUUGUGAAUGCUGUCAUUUGAGAAUUUGUAGUAUAUAGUCAUUGACUUCACUAAGAAGGUCUGUGGUUACAGGCAGUGCACGCUUUUAUGCUCUGAACAAUUACAUAUUAAGUCAUUGUUGCGUACACGUGCAGAUAUGGACAGUUAAGAGUAUUUUUUAUGACAUCACCUGCUCCAGUUUGUAGAAGGAUUGUCAGGCCGUUAGUGGACUGGACCAUUUUAUUCCUCGUCCUCUAGAGUUGGAACAGUCUCUUCUGCAUUUUAUUACUAAUGGUUGUUUUUUUUUUUUUUUUUUUUUUCCUUAAGUUUCUAUCGCCGUGAUAUUAUUCUCUGUCAAGUGAAGGGUAAUUUUUCUACAAGUGAAAGCCUAUCUGCUGUAACGUAGUUUGGAUUACAGACGCUGCAUAACUCUAAGCGCCCCCCUCCUCACUCGGAAGAACUAACUGUUGUGACUCAAACUAUGAAUACGUAACACUGAAGUUGGAUGAUGACCACUGGCUAAAUAAAAUGGGGUGAACUCUC